AUGCUCACCUGGCAGGGGAAAUACCAUGAUCACAAAGAUGGUUUUCCCAGGGUGAGGGUCAUCCACUGCACUCCAGAUAUGCUGACCCCUGUGAUCUCCCAAAUGUGGGAAAUUCAACUGCAUAAUUUGUGGUAGUGGGGGACUACCACUCUCCCUUA
rnacentral:snRNA from 1 species